rnacentral:rRNA from 1 species
UACGUAGGGUGCGAGCGUUGUCCGGAAUUAUUGGGCGUAAAGAGCUCGUAGGCGGUCUGUCGCGUCUGCUGUGAAAACUCGAGGCUCAACCUCGAGACGUCGGUUGAAACCAUCUGGCUAGAGUCCGGAAGAGGAGUGUGGAAUUCCCGGUGUAGCGGUGAAAUGCGCAGAUAUCGGGAAGAACACCCGUGGCGAAGGCGGCACUCUGGGACGGUACUGACGCUGAGACGCGAAAAGCGUGGGGAGCGAACAGG